AAAGCCCCCAACAGUAACCAUGUCACUGCCUGAACGUUGGGCUGUUUUGAAAUUUCGUCCACCAGAUUAAUAAAUCCACUACCCUUAAUCUCAGUCUCCUGCAAAAUCUCAGGACAUGAGCUCAAUGCAGACAAAUUUUCUGCCAGAGUAUAACACACAUGGUCUCAAGUGCAACUGCCAGUGGAGUCCUUCUUCCUCACUGAACCCUCCGGAGCCUGGGGUCUACUAUUCCCGUUUCUAUUCCGGUCAUCUGAGCUCUGACUAGAGCCUCCCAUCAAGCUUGGCUUACAGCAUUUCAGGACUUCUACGGCAUCUUCACAUCUUUUCCAAGCACUUUCCAGGAACAGGUUUCCUGAUAAUCCAGAAUCAGCCCACCUGCCCUUCAGUGGAUGAUGGCUAGACAAAUGACAUCACAUCUACACAACGGAAUAUUACUCAGUAAUGGAAAGGAACAAACUAUAUGUACACACAACUUGGAUGAAUGUCCAGAAAUUAUACUGCGCUAAAGAAGCCAACCCCUCCAAAUAUGAUUCUAUCCAUAAAACAUGUUUGAAAGAAUAAAUAUUAGCAAAUGCAAGACAGA